UACGUAGGGUGCAAGCGUUGUUCGGAAUGACUGGGCGUAAAGCGCGCGUAGGCGGAUUGGCAAGUUGGGGGUGAAAUCCCGGGGCUCAACCUCGGAAUGGCCUUCAAGACUGCUGGUCUUGAGUUCGAGAGAGGUGAGUGGAAUUCCGAGUGUAGAGGUGAAAUUCGUAGAUAUUCGGAGGAACACCAGUGGCGAAGGCGGCUCACUGGCUCGACACUGACGCUGAGGUGCGAAAGCGUGGGGAGCAAACAGG
rnacentral:rRNA from 1 species